UACGUAGGGUGCGAGCGUUGUCCGGAAUUACUGGGCGUAAAGAGCUCGUAGGUGGUUUGUCGCGUUGUCCGUGAAAACUCACAACUCAAUUGUGGGCGUGCGGGCGAUACGGGCAGACUGGAGUACUGCAGGGGAGACUGGAAUUCCCGGUGUAGCGGUGAAAUGCGCAGAUAUCGGGAGGAACACCAGUAGCGAAGGCGGCACUCUGGGCCGGUACUGACGCUGAGGAGCGAAAGCGUGGGGAGCGAACAGG
rnacentral:rRNA from 1 species